rnacentral:rRNA from 1 species
CGUAGGUGCGAGCGUUGUCCGGAUUACUGGCGUAAGAGCUCGUAGGCGGUUGUCACGUCGUCUGUGAAAUCCCCUCGGCUUAACCGGGCGGUGCAGGCGAUACGGCAGACUUGAGUACUACAGGGAGGACUGGAAUUCCUGGUGUAGCGGUGAAAUAGCGCAGAUAUCAGGAGGAACACCGGUGGCGAAGGCGGUCGUCUGGGUAGUAACUGACGCUGAGGAGCGAAAGCAUGGGUAGCGAACAGGAUU